rnacentral:misc_RNA from 1 species
GGAAAAUAAAACGACAUAGAACUUCAUUUUCAACAUUUGAUUUGCCUCCCAUCAAGUAACGCAGGUGAUCCUUUACAAGAUCAUUAUUUGUGAGAUUAUAAGUUUCAAGCUGAGACGAUUUCAUCCGAUUCUUCAUUUCUUCUAGUUCAGAAGGCAUAUGCAUACCGACACUAUAAAGAACAACCGCUUCCUUUUCAGAACUAUAUCUAUACUUGAAUUCUGUAAUAUUCAUAGGCCCAACCAGUUCACAAAAUUUUUUAAAGCUUCCAGGUAUUUCCGGCAAUAUAGUUGCGAGCACAGCCUCUUGUUCACGACCAACAUUGGCAAGUUCAGUAACUAUUCUCAGUUUGUCAAAGUUCAUAUUUGCACCACUGGUUAUUACCACAACAUUUUCUCCCUUCA